CGGAAAGAUGGCCUCGCGUCUGAUUAGCUAGUAGGCGGGGUAACGGCCCACCUAGGCGACGAUCAGUAGCCGGACUGAGAGGUUGACCGGCCACAUUGGGACUGAGAUACGGCCCAGACUCCUACGGGAGGCAGCAG
rnacentral:rRNA from 1 species